UGGGGAAUAUUGCACAAUGGGCGCAAGCCUGAUGCAGCCAUGCCGCGUGUAUGAAGAAGGCCUUCGGGUUGUAAAGUACUUUCAGCGGGGAGGAAGGCGAUAAGGUUAAUAACCUUGUCGAUUGACGUUACCCGCAGAAGAAGCACCGGCUAACUCCGUGCCAGCAGCCGCGGUAAUACGGAGGGUGCAAGCGUUAAUCGGAAUUACUGGGCGUAAAGCGCACGCAGGCGGUCUGUCAAGUCGGAUGUGAAAUCCCCGGGCUCAACCUGGGAACUGCAUUCGAAACUGGCAGGCUAGAGUCUUGUAGAGGGGGGUAGAAUUCCAGGUGUAGCAGUGAAAUGCGUAGAGAUCUGGAGGAAUACCGGUGGCGAAGGCGGCCCCCUGGACAAAGACUGACGCUCAGGUGCGAAAGCGUGGGGAGCAAACA
rnacentral:rRNA from 1 species